CAUAAGCGCCUUCCCAGGCAACACAGACAUGAAUAGUGACAGCCACAUGCAUGCGCCAGCUCCAGCCGUCCCCUACCUGUCCCCCCCGCAGCUGCUGACAGGCCACAGGUCUGGGGGUGCAGGGAGCUGGAGCUACCGACAGACAGAAGCCAACCGACACAAAUGCACAGGCACAGAGUUCUCUCGCCAAGGGCAGAAGGAAGAAGGCUGUUUUACCAAACUGAACAGCCAGUGAGGAUGGUCUGGGCGGAGGACACAGAACCAGCAGUUUGAAGAGGAGGCUGACUGAUCUUGCCAGUCUGCGGGCUCCACAAAGUGCCGCUGGCCAGCAAGGGGCCAGUCCCCACAGACCAGUGCAUGCCGCUGCUGGCCGAGGCAAACCCAGCCAGGUGCCUGUUCUUGCCAUCGUGAGGUCUUUACCGCCUUCUACCCACAUGUCUUCCUGUCUCCACCUCUGAUUCCUCGGUCCGGACAGAAUGACUUCACUUAAUCCAAGGAUGACAGUCGUUUCUUUUACUGACCUAGAACCAAGUUUCACUCAUGAUCUCUGGACCUAAAGGGUGCAUAUGUUUUGACAUUGAAAUAUCUGGAGGGGAGGCUACUUGGAGAGUGGCAGGAGUAUUAAAAUCCCAGCUGGUUAUUUGCUUACAAAAGUUCCAAACAAAAUAGUGGCCCACCUUUGUGUUCUGGGGUCUGGAGGAACAAAUCACUCCCUGUACCACUUCCCAGAACACAAUAGCCAUUCUAAGCACACCUUUGCCAGCCUGACAGUUAUUUUAUUGCACUUGGAAAACCAGAAUCAUCACAGCCUGCCAAGGAAGUCAAGAGUGAAAGGUUAAAGUGUCUCAUGAGCUACUGGAAGGUGAUGCCAUCAAUGCUGGGAGACCUCUCGCCAGGCCUGGGGCCCAGACCAUGCAAUCCGCUCCAUGUGCCAUGCUGGGCCCAUGGGAUCCAUCCACGUGCAGGAGGAGGUCACGGACAGGUUUGAGCAAGAAGUAACAGAGGAUGACCAGUAUCAUAAAGACCACUCUGGGUCCAAAGUGAUGAGCAGAAUGGAGGGAAAGUGGGAGCCGGGCAACCAAUUCGAAGGCCUUUGCAGUGAAGGCCUCCCAGUGUUGCUGGACGUGGGGGGUGGACAAGUGAGGGCAGACGAAUUCGAGAUCUACAUGAGGGCCAUCGCAAGGGCUUGGGGAUCUGGAGGCAGAGAAAGGUGUGUGUCAACAGACACCUCCCCAGAUCACCCGGUGCACUCUUUACUCUCCAUCCUCUACGUAACCCAUUCCCCCCACCAGCCUCCCCUCUGGAAGAAUCAGUUUGUUCUCUAUAGUUAAGAGUCUGUUUCUUGGUUUGCCUCUCUCUCACUUUUCCUUCUGCUCAUUUAUUUUGUUUCUUAAAUUCCACACAUGAGCAUAGAACUUCCGGCUUGAAAAAGCGAGUUAACAGCUGUGUACCCUAACGAGACCCUAAGGGAGGUCUGCAAAGGGGGUAUGAUAGAAAGACGCCAAGAGAUAAAACGUGGACCCUGUGAGUCAGAGCACCCAGGAGACACUCAGGUUAACUAGCUGCCGGAGUAGGCAUAAAAUGUCCCAUGAAGCACAGAGGAGUCCUGUGGAAUGACAGACGUCUGGGGCUUCCUCACUGGUGACCCUUCCCACCGCCCUCCGGGUGCUUGGAUGUCCUGCCGCUGUGUGGCAGCAGUCCCAGCAGAAGGUCUUGGUACCUAGCCCUGUGCCCUGCCUGUUAUACCACUGGGAUUACCACCUUGUGCACCUUGUGUAGGGGGCUGGGGGGAGCGGGAGGUUCCAAAUUAGACUGUCUCCUAGGGAAAUGUUAAUCCAGGUGGUAUCAGAUGCAGAGAAAGGUCUCUCUCUCUCUUAACAAAAGACCAGAGAAGACAGCCUAUUUUAGGAAAACAAUGACUCACUGAAAUCACAUCCUGCUCUCAAGCUAAUAUGCCUCCUUCUGGACUAGAACCUGGUUUCCUAUCAUGAUGGGUCUGUUUUCCAAGUCCCCCAUCAAAGGACGAAUCAAAAUGUCAUUUAGCAAUCUGCCUUCUAAUUAAAACUUGAGCCAUUUUUACAAAACCACAUUGAACUAAACAAUCCCACAUGGCAAUAAAGCACUGUGUUCUGCCGCCUUGA